rnacentral:sRNA from 2 species
UUUGCUGAUGAUGCGUGAGGAGCGCUCCUCUCAUCCUCCGAAAGAGCAGAAUUAACCAACUGACGCUUUCACGGCGCCGUUGCCGCCGCGCCCCUCUGCCCCCCCGGCCGCCCUCGCAGGCGUCGGUGCUGCUGAGCG